rnacentral:misc_RNA from 1 species
GUUUUAUUUUAUUUUUUUCCCCUUUUGAAAUGGCUAUUCAUUGCUAAGUGUUUGCCAAGUAGAAAAUAGAGAAGAACCAGCAACCACUUUUACAGAGGCAUAAUCUAGAAAAAAAUAAUAUAGGAAAUCAACAAUAAAGGAUUACAUAAAUGGGAUCUUCCAUGUCUCGUUUACAACCUUUAAGAAGAAAAUGAAUUGAAUGGCUCUUCAGUGCAGUGCACUCCAACAAAUCUUUCAGCCGAACUUUUUUGUUGCUGAGCUAGUAUAAUCAUAUUUUUGAGUUUUUCACUAGAGUAUGAAAUAAAAGAAUUUGAAUUCUUCUCCACAAUCCAAUUGAUUAUUUUGCCAUUCUGUAAUGUCAAAGAGCUUAAAUCAUAUAGGUGAACAAUGGGUGCCUAAAGCCAGCACAGCUUGCUUAUCACUUAGAAUUAGCAUCUGCAGCAGUCUCAAUGCUAGGUUUACCAUUGCCACUGAUAAGAUUGCUCAAGUGGCCAUUGAAUUCUACCCCAUAGAUAUGACCCAUUUUAGCA